rnacentral:rRNA from 1 species
UACGUAGGGUGCAAGCGUUGUCCGGAAUUAUUGGGCGUAAAGAGCUCGUAGGCGGUUCGUCGCGUCGGCUGUGAAAACCCGGAGCUCAACUCCGGGCCUGCAGUCGAUACGGGCGGACUAGAGUUCGGCAGGGGAGACUGGAAUUCCUGGUGUAGCGGUGAAAUGCGCAGAUAUCAGGAGGAACACCGGUGGCGAAGGCGGGUCUCUGGGCAUUUCCUGACGCUGAGGCACGAAAGCCAGGGGAGCAAACGGG